CUUUUUUAUACUAAAAUUUGAACAAAAAAUGAAUAUAUUAAAGUUCCAAUAUAAGACAUUCUUGCGUUCCACCUCAAUCCUAAGCCACUUGUAGAUAAUACUAAAACAGAAAGAGAACAUUCAGAUGUGCCACACAGAUAUCAAAUUUUAAUAUUGAUAAAUUUGACACUACUAGAUUUCCUAUAGCUAUACCCUCGAUAUGAAUAUUCAAAAUCAAAGUGUCUUAGAAUUCUGGGUUACUUCACAAAAUAAACCUGCCUCUCAUAGGAAGGAGCAAAGCAGAAUGAAUAUUUACUAUAAGGAACAUUAUUUUCAAAGAGAAAGAGGGAAAAGCUGAACUGAGAAUACCCCAAAUUUAUGUCUCCCAAAUAUACCAAGCAGAAUAUUCACUCUUUUAUUAAUAAGCUUCCUCUAAACAGAAGGGAAUAUCAGGGAUGGAGAAACAGCACUACUUUCAACAUAUAUCUAAACACAAUUUUUGUAAUGCCAAGUUCUGGAUGAAACAUUGCCUCUCUCUUUUCCAUUCUUACCCAUCUCCAGUUAUAAUUGCUAUUGAGAUUUUGUGUAUAUUACUCUAUUUAUUAGACUUGUUUGGAAAUUCUCAACUCAAUCACUUACGUAUGAAUUUGCUUUUAUCAGUGACCCUUUAAAAAGAGACAUUUAUAAUCAUGUGAAUAAUUUUUUUAAAGCUAUUUAGGGAGGGAGGAGCAAGCUCAGAAACCACUGCUACAGUACACUAAACUUGCCAGAUAAGUCACCAUAGCGUUUGCAGAAAGAAAGUAAAAAGUAAAUAAAUAAAUAUGUACAUAAACUUGCUUGAGAAGACUAAUACGCACUAACAUUUAUUCAAUCUGUCUUUCUUUCACUUAAUCUUCAUUUAACAAAUGCCUACUAAGCUUUAUACCCAAUAACAUAUGUCAUGUAUUGUGGAGGAUGUAAAGGAACAGUUUAACUGUCUGACAGUUCAUUAAAACGUUUCUGUCUACCACUAAAUUCCUAGAUAACUGAAAACACAUGCUGAUCCAAAGACAUGUUAAAUUACUAGUUUUGACUUUAUUUUUAAUAGGCAAAAACUACAAAGAGAACAUAUGUUCAACCACAAGUGCAUGGAUAAACAAACAAUCAUAUUUCCAUAAAAUGGAAUUGUACUCAGAAAUAAAAAAUAGAAAGAUCGAACUAUUGAUGCACAAUAUGGAAUGUAUCUCAAAAUAACUAUAUUGAGUGACAAGAGGAAGAUAUAAAAUAACACAUGCCGUGUGGUUUUAUUCAUGCAAAAUUUUGUAAAAUACAAACUAAGUUAUAAUGACAGAGUGCAGAUCAGUGGUUUGUUCAGGUGACAGAGGGGUUUGUUCGGGUGACAGAGGGGUUAGGGUUCGGAAGAGUGAGAUUACAAAGAGCUAUGAGAAAACUAUUGGGGACAAUGGAUAUGUUCACUAUCUUUAUUGUGUGAAUGGUUUCACAGGUGUUUACAUAUGUCACACUUACCAAAUUGUAUACUUAAAAUAUGCAAAAUAUUUCUGGUAAAAUUUCACUUUGUUUUAAAUGAAAAGAGGCUAAGAUGUACAUUUUUACCACCUCGAGUCUCCAUUAUGUUAGAGAACCUGGGCAGUACAAUAAAGAAAGAGGGAGAAAGAAAGAGAGAAGGAAGGAAGGAAAGAAGGAAGGGAGGGAGGGAGGGAGGGGAGAAAGAAACGGAAAGAGAAAGAGAGAGGGAAAGAAAUAGAGAAAGAUAAAGGAGAAAGAAAGAGAAAGAAAGAGAAGAAAGAAAAAAGGAAGGAAGGAGAAAGAAGGAAAGAAGAAAGAAAGAAAGAGGAAAAGAGAAAGAGGGAGGAAGAAAGGGAGGAAGAAGGAAAGAAGAAAAGGAGAAAAUAGGCAGAGAGUACAGAAAGGCAGAAGUAAAUCUGCCUUUAUUUGCAUAUGAUAUGAUCAUAUUUUAAAAUGAUGCAUACAAUUGAAGUUUUAAAACUGAAAAUGUAGUUAAAAAUCUGUUCCAGAAAUGAGAAAUAUUACAGAAAACAAAGCCAAAGAAUGUAUAAGGAUGAAAUUAAAUAUAAAGCCAAAUAUUAAAACAUUAAAUAAAUAUGUGCUAGAGAGGGUCCACAAAACUAAAAGUUUGUUCUUUGAAAAGAGCUCUACUGUUUUCAAUAAUUCAUGGUAGUGAUAAAAAAGAAAAAGGUAGCAAAUCUCAAUGGUAGUCAUGAAAAACAGGUAAAAAUUACAUUGCUAUAAAUCCCUUAGAAAUAUUAAGAAGACAUUCUGUACAUUGUGACAAUUAAAUGAGUCUUUUAAGUAAAAUGACUAAUAUUAGGAUAGGAAAUCUCAACAAUCCUGAAGCUAAAAUACAUAAAAAUAACAUCCUACAACCACUAAGGAAACAAAAAGUUUUCCAAUAUUAGCAAACAAAACACUCCUACUUCAAAUGAUUUUACCAAAAGCUUCUACAAAGUGUAUUAGGAAACAAAAUUCCAAUCGUAUAUGAACUUUCCGGAGAUGCAAGAUGACUUGAAAACAUAGAUUCCAACAAGAGUAUCUGAUGAGCAUUUACUGUGUGUGCUACAUAAUGGAGAAAAUCAUCUGAAGUUGAUAAAAAAUGUAAAUGUGGAGAAAGCAAAAAUUUUAACACUUUUCAGAAGGUACUAUCAUAUGUGAAAUAAGAUAAUAAAAAUAAUAACAUUAACAGAUGGCACUUGGGUUCCUAAAGAGCAUGUUUGGAGUACAGUAUCGAGUUAGUGGGCUAGGAUAGAACUGAGUCUUUUUGUUCAGACAAACCUCUGAGAGCAAUUUAGUUUCCUCUUUAUGUAACACAUUUAAGCAGAGAAAGCCUGAGAUGUCUACCCUGUGUCUUCAUUGUUGUUUUGGUUUUCAACAGAUUAAGAAUUUCUCAUGUCAUAGCCAGGCACAGGGAGAGAGACUAUUAAAAAAAAAAAUGAACAUAAGGAGGCAUUAUGUUAAUGACUAAUUUUCUUUUUUACGGUUUUCAUUAUUUUACCUUUUUUUUUUUUCAAGUUCCUGGGUACAUGUGCAAGACGUGCAGGUUUGUUACAUAGGUAAACGUGUGCUAUGAUGGUUUGCUUCACCUAUCAACCCAUUGUCUCUGGAAUCGGUGGUUUUUUGGUCUCACUGACUUCAAGAAUGAAGCCGCAGACCCUGCCGAUGACAAUUCAUGAGCUCUCCUGUGGAGAAGACUCCAGCCUGUGAGGAACUGAGUCCUGUGUCCAACAACAUGUGAGGAACCGCUAAGUCUUUGAAUGAUCUCGGAAGAUAAUCUCCCAGUUGAGCUUUCAGAUGACUGCAGUCCUGGCUGACACCUUAAUUGUCGCUUCAUGAAAUCCAGAGUCACAGGGCCUGGGAAAAGACAUCCGUGUCCUUAAACAUGGAAAAUGUUAGAUAAUAAAUGUUACUGUUAAUAAGAUAUUAAAUUUUGAGAUGACUUGUUAUGCAGGCAUAGAUAACUAAUACAAUCUUUUUAAAAACAAAAGCUAAAAAACCCCAUAAGCUUGGAUAAAAAAACAUUGUAAUAUGUAUACAUUAAUAAUUACAUAAAACCAAUAAAUCAAAUAGCAAAAUAUAGUCUUUAUAAAUAUUAGUACCUGUAUUUAAUCAUCUAUUAAAAUCAUUUAAAAUAUAAAUAACCCUAUGAUAAAGAUAAAGUUUGUAAAUAUAUUAUUCACGCAUAGGCAUGUAAUAGUCCAAACAAUACAUAAAUAUAAUUAUAUUUGUUAAUGCUAAAAUCUAUUAAAUGUCAUAGCAUUUUACUUAUGCAUUUAUCAAAAUUUUGUAAACAUGGUAAGGUACUGUUCAAAAUUGACUUGCCACUGCCAAUUAUGGCUAAAGAAAGUAUAUUUUUUUCUUACAGACAUUUUUGAAGAGCUAAUAGGAACCAUUAAAAUAUGUCACCAUUUUAAUCCUAUAGUUUAAUAUUACUAUAGAUUAUUAAAGGUAUUGGAGACUGGUAAAAGACUUAAGAAAUAAUCCAUCAUAUAUUUUGCCAUUUAAACAAUCAUUUUAACAUAAAUGAAUGUUAAAUAACCAUUUUAAAAUAUAUUUUUUAAGUGCAAAUCGCAUAAGAUCAUAUAAAUGUGUAUAAAGACAAAGGUAGGGAAAACAACAAAAAAUUAAAUCAUAUAUUUAAUGAAAAUAGUUUAAAAGAAUAUUCAAUUCAGAUUUUCACAGCCCAACAUGAUGUUAUUCAUACAUACUUUUAUGUAAAACUGAAUAAUUUAACUUUUUAACAAGUUCAGAUUAUGAUGUAAUGGUUACUGGGGUCAUAUGUGGACAGAUCAUAAACUUGUGGGUUUUAAGAAAUUUUUACUACAAGAAACAAAUAUAUACUUAUUCCCAAACACAUCAAGUUGUAUACAUUAAAUAUCUAAAGCUUUUUGUAGGUCAUCACACCUAAAUAAAGCAUUUUUAAAAAGAUUACAUUUCUAUUAAAACUUAAGUAUUAAAGUACUAAAACUGAAGUACUAAAGUACUAAAAUAAAUUUGGCCCAAGCUGUUGCUCAAGUUCUGGCUGGACUGCUGACAGGGAGGGGAAUGGGGCAAGAACAUUAGUUUCUCCUGACCAAACUGGAGUGGCCAGCCAUCAAAGAGUUGGCUCCACAAAGGGCCUUUAAAUUGCUGGCAAUUGAAACACACAUAUAUUAUUUGCCUUAAUUGUUCUCAAACAUUUCUUAAUAUCAAUUUGAGAUGUUGCAAUCUUUUCCUCAUGUUUUCAGAAUUAACUGGAAAACGACGACUGCAGUGGCAGUAGUGGGGAGUGGUAAUCGAGCAGAUCUGGGUUCUGGUGGCAUGAUGAUCACAGAACUAUUAAAGCAAGCUCAUGAAUAGGAGAUUAAAGCACAAGGCCUCAAAUAUCCUGCUUAUAAGCACAUAUUAGUCAGUGCCCCAUAGACCUCUUAGAAGAUAGGGGGACACACUGAAGGGAAGCUGAGACAGCCUGGGGGUAAGCAGGGAAAGAGAGCGUAAAGAGAGUAACAAAGAAAAUGUGCCAAUAUAUAAAAAUAUGGCUACUUCACAAUGGUGAAAUUACGGAAUCAUUUUUUAUUUGCAGCCUCCCUUUUUUUUCUCCAACCAUGCAUGUGAUGAGAAGCAGGAGAAAGUUAAUCCAACUUAUUAAAAACUAGAAACAU
rnacentral:lncRNA from 10 species